rnacentral:rRNA from 1 species
GCAUAUCAAUAAGCGGAGGAAAAGAAACCAACAGGGAUUGCCCUAGUAACGGCGAGUGAAGCGGCAACAGCUCAAAUUUGAAAUCUGGCGUCUUUGGCGUCCGAGUUGUAAUUUGCAGAGGGCGCUUUGGCAUUGGCAGCGGUCCAAGUUCCUUGGAACAGGACGUCACAGAGGGUGAGAAUCCCGUACGUGGUCGCUAGCCUUUACCGUGUAAAGCCCCUUCGACGAGUCGAGUUGUUUGGGAAUGCAGCUCUAAAUGGGAGGUAAAUUUCUUCUAAAGCUAAAUACUGGCCAGAGACCGAUAGCGCACAAGUAGAGUGAUCGAAAGAUGAAAAGCACUUUGGAAAGAGAGUUAAAAAGCACGUGAAAUUGUUGAAAGGGAAGCGCUUGCAGCCAGACUUGCCUGUAGUUGCUCAUCUAGGUUUCUACCUAGUGCACUCUUCUAUAGGCAGGCCAGCAUCAGUUUGGGCGGUUGGAUAAAGGUCUCUGUCAUGUACCUCUCUUCGGGGAGAACUUAUAGGGGAGACGACAUGCAACCAGCCUGGACUGAGGUCCGCGCAUCUGCUAGGAUGCUGGCGUAAUGGCUGUAAGCGGCCCGUCUUGAAACACGGACCAAGGAGUCUAACAUCUAUGCGAGUGUUUGGGUGUCAAGCCCGAGCGCGUAAUGAAAGUGAACGGAGGUGGGAACCUUUCGGGGUGCACCAUCGACCGAUCCUGAUGUCUUCGGAUGGAUUUGAGUAAGAGCAUAGCUGUUGGGACCCGAAAGAUGGUGAACUAUGCUUGAAUAGGGUGAAGCCAGAGGAAACUCUGGUGGAGGCUCGCAGCGGUUCUGACGUGCAAAUCGAUCGUCAAAUUUGGGCAUAGGGGCGAAAGACUAAUCGAACUAUCUAGUAGCUGGUUCCUGCCGA